rnacentral:rRNA from 1 species
GGCGAACGGGUGAGUAACACGUGAGGAACCUGCCCCGAAGACCGGGACAACACCGGGAAACCGGUGCUAAUACCGGAUGCCCUCACCGGACCGCAUGAUCCGGUGAGGAAAUGGAUUCCGCUUCGGGAUGGCCUCGCGGCCUAUCAGCUUGUUGGUGAGGUCACGGCUCACCAAGGCGACGACGGGUAGCUGGUCUGAGAGGAUGUCCAGCCACACUGGGACUGAGACACGGCCCAGACUCCUACGGGAGGCAGCAGUUAGGAAUCUUGCGCAAUGGACGAAAGUCUGACGCAGCGACGCCGCGUGCGGGAUGAAGGCCCCCGGGUUGUAAACCGCUUUCAGCAGGGACGAAAUUGACGGUACCUGCAGAAGAAGCCCCGGCCAACUACGUGCCAGCAGCCGCGGUAAUACGUAGGGGGCGAGCGUUGUCCGGAUUUAUUGGGCGUAAAGAGCUCGUAGGUGGUUUGGUAAGUCGGAUGUGAAAUCUCCAGGCUCAACCUGGAGGGGUCAUUCGAGACUGCCAUGACUAGAGUUCGGUAGAGGAGUGUGGAAUUCCUGGUGGAGCGGUGAAAUGCGCAGAUAUCAGGAGGAACACCCGUAGCGAAGGCGGCACUCUGGGCCGAUACUGACACUGAGGAGCGAAAGCGUGGGGAGCGAACAGGAUUAGAUACCCUGGUAGUCC